UACGUAGGGUGCGAGCGUUGUCCGGAAUUAUUGGGCGUAAAGAGCUUGUAGGCGGUUUGUCGCGUCUGCUGUGAAAUCUCAAGGCUCAACCUUGAGCUUGCAGUGGGUACGGGCAGACUAGAGUGUGGUAGGGGGAGAACGGAAUUCCUGGUGUAGCGGUGAAAUGCGCAGAUAUCAGGAGGAACACCGGUGGCGAAGGCGGUUCUCGUGGGCAUGUCCUGACGCUGAGGAGCGAAAGUGUGGGGAGCGAACAGG
rnacentral:rRNA from 1 species